rnacentral:rRNA from 1 species
AAAGCCGCAAAAGGAAGGAAGGAUAUCCCAGCCAUUGAAAGAAAGCUCAAGAAGGAAGUCGAUAGAGAGAUGAAGGGAGAGACAAUGGACGGGAGCAAAGGGCCGGUGGUGGUGACUGGAGCGUCGGGUUUCGUAGGGUCGUGGCUCGUCAUGAAGCUCCUCCAGGCCGGGUACACCGUCCGGGCCACCGUGCGCGACCCGGGUGAGCGCCCCCUCCCUCUCUCUCUCGACGUGGUAGCUAGCUUGACCGCAUUCGUAAUUUGUUUUUGUGUUUUUAUCUCAGCCAACGUUGAGAAGAACAAGCCGUUGCUGGAGCUUCCCGGAGCCAAGGAGCGGCUGUCCAUCUGGAAGGCCGACCUGAGCGACGAAGGCAGCUUCGACGACGCCAUCGCCGGCUGCACCGGCGUCUUCCACGUCGCCACGCCCAUGGACUUCGACUCCAAAGAUCCCGAGAACGAGGUGAUCAAACCCACGGUGGAAGGGAUGCUGAGCAUCAUGAGGGCCUGCAAGGAGGCUGGCACCGUGAAGCGCAUCGUCUUCACCUCCUCCGCCGGCAGCGUCAACAUCGAGGAGCGGCAGCGGCCAGCCUACGACCAGGACAACUGGAGCGACAUCGACUUCUGCCGCCGCGUCAAGAUGACAGGAUGGAUGUACUUCGUGUCCAAGUCCCUCGCAGAGAAGGCCGCCAUGGAGUACGCCAGCGAGAACGGCCUGGACUUCAUCAGCAUCAUCCCCACGCUCGUAGUCGGCCCGUUCCUCAGCGCCGGCAUGCCGCCCAGCCUCGUCACCGCCCUGGCGCUCAUCACAGGGAAUGAAGCCCACUACUCGAUCCUGAAGCAGGUGCAGCUGGUGCACCUGGACGACCUCUGCGACGCCAUGACCUUCCUCUUCGAGCACCCGGAGGCCAACGGCCGCUACAUCUGCUCCUCCCACGACGCCACCAUCCACGGCCUCGCCAGGAUGCUCCGGGACAGGUUCCCCGAGUACAGCAUCCCGCACAAGUUCGCAGGCGUCGACGACGACCUCCAGCCCAUCCACUUCUCCUCCAAGAAGCUCCUCGACCACGGCUUCAGCUUCCGGUACACCGCCGAGGACAUGUUUGACGCCGCCAUCCGCACCUGCAGGGAGAAGGGCCUCAUUCCGCUCGGAGACGCCCCGGCGCCUGCAGCUGCCGGCAAGCUGGGAGCUCUUGCUGCGGGCAAAGGCCAAGCCAUUGGUGCCGAGACAUAAUAAGCCAGCGCUGCUGCAUGAAUACUAUUCUUGUGUUCGGAAUUUGCAUGGGCAGAGCCCUGCAACUAGUGGGAUAUCAUGGACUAUGGAGUGCAUCAAAUUUUUUUCACCUCGGCAGUAGUAUGAAAUAAAAUUGAAAAUAACGCAUAAACUUUAUCAGUAUUAUUUUUCAUAUUCACUACUCCCUCUGAUCCAAAAUAAAGUGUCACAGUUUUGAACUGGGCUUAGUUCAAAACUGCGACACUUUUACUUGGGCUGAAUGUUGCUAUUUUUCAUGGGAUAGAGAACAAAGGAUGCUCUAUUAUUUAAUUAUUAAUCUGGUAGAAUGAUGGU